rnacentral:lncRNA from 1 species
AUGUGUGUAUUGAGUUGCUAUCUUAAUAUAUUUCUUACUAUGGAUCUCAAUCAAAAAGUUUUAAAAAGUACUGUUAUAACCACCAGUUGCCUAACUUUCAUGCAUAUUUCGCCUUUCAGAAUCAAGACCAAGGGAAACAAAAUCCCACUCGGCAACCCCCACGCAUCCCUCUCAGCGCCCGGAUCUGGUCUGAAAGAUCUGUUCCCAGGUGCUGCUGCUGGUCCGGGAUCUGUGCUUGGAGAACAAUGUCAGAGCAACAAAUCUAGACAAACGCUGCAAGAUGAAAGGAAAUCCAAACCUCGGAUCUUUAAGAUGAAUCUGUCUUUAUAG